UACGUAGGGUCUGAGCGUUGUCCGGAAUUAUUGGGCGUAAAGAGCUCGUAGGCGGUUUGUCGCGUCUGCUGUGAAAACUGGAGGCUCAACCUCCAGCCUGCAGUGGGUACGGGCAGACUAGAGUGCGGUAGGGGAGAAUGGAAUUCCUGGUGUAGCGGUGGAAUGCGCAGAUAUCAGGAGGAACACCGGUGGCGAAGGCGGGUCUCUGGGCCGAUACUGACGCUGAGGAGCGAAAGCGUGGGGAGCGAACAGG
rnacentral:rRNA from 1 species